GAUCGUGUAAUAUUAGGGUAAAAGCUUUUAAAUCUUAAAAGUAAGGUUUUACUCUAUAUGUGCAGAUAUAUUGAUAUUUUCGGGUAAUUUUAAUUACGAUAUUUUAUUAAAUACAGUCAGUAUCAACAUAAUGGCAAGGAAUAGUGGAUGUACUGUUUCUUCAAAAAGCCUAAAACUUGGUUCUCUGUUACUAUUUGCUGGAUUUAUAAUUCAUGUUGUUGGAUUUUCGAUUGCGAAAUGGGCGUCUUAUUCUAGUACCAUAUUCAGCGGACAAACGUCUUACCAUGUUGGAUUAUGGGAACAGUGUCUCUGUGCAAAGAUAAUCUUGGAACAAUGCGCAUGUAUAAAGAGAGACGGAGAUCAAACAUGGUUCAUAGCAGUACAAGUCAUGGAGACUUUGGGUCUAAUUGGAUUGGCUUUUACUGGAAUCAUUUGUUUGAUUCUUGUAUGUUGGAGACAAACAAAGGCAUUGAAGAAAUUGAAUAUUUUCUCGAUUUUAUGUUCAAGUGUUUUCAUUAUCAUCUGAUUAAUUAUAUUCGGAGUUGAAAACACAAAUAACUUUAAUGCCUUGGUUGAAAUUAUCGGCGCAAAAGACACAGACGGAAAACUUGGCACGUCCUUCUUCUUAUGCGCUGGUGCCGCCGGAAUAUCCUUACUUGCAUGCUUGCCUCUAUUCUUGAUUGACCUGAGAACCCAAAUACCAGAGUCUACAAACAUGCAACAACAAACAGUGCAAUACUCGAGCCAAGGUCAUGUCAUGAGUGUAUCACCGCAUCAGGUACAUGUUAUACCGAAUGUUUCAAGUCAGCAACCACAGACAAGUUCUGUGCCAGCAUACGGACCUUACAGUGUGCCUCAACCGUACACACCACAAGCGUCCUGGGGAUAUAACACGACUAGUCCUCCGCCACAGCCAGAUGGCUAUUACCACCCUUACAAAGGAUAGGAAAGAUACGGAACAGAGAGACAGAAUGAGAACUAUGUGAAAUUCAUGACACAACAUAUGCAAACUCUAGCUAAUAUUUACCUAGCUUAUUUUUUCUGCACUGGUUUGACAUUUUACGAUGUAAGCCUUGUCAAAUUUUGCACUAUAUAUUCUACAGUAAAUCAGUCACAUUGAAGUUGCCCAAUUUAAAAGGCCCUGCCUGCUGGCACGUUGUAUAUCUAUUCCGCUUAGAGAAAUCUGCUGUGUUGAUUAAGCGAAAGAAUCCUUUUAUUAUUUCAAUAUACGUUUUUUUUCAUCUUCAACAAAUACCAAUUGUUAGGUGAACGACAGUGCAUUUUAAUGUACAUUUGUAAUUGUAAAUAUAUUUAAAAAUUGCAGUUUUGAUUAUUUUCUGGCUCGAAACUAGCACAAAUAUCUACACAGGAUUGAUGUUGAUGUUCACUGUAUUAAGUCCCAUAUCCGCGACAUUCUAGCACCAUAUUUGAAUAUAAUCACCAUUUCAUCCAUCUUAGUACAGUAACUCCAACAUUAUGUAGGCAUUUGUUUAUGAUUUGGAUGGACCCAUCUAACACACAUAUCAAUAAUAAACUAACGAUGAAUAACGGCCACCAGAGUAGAACUACCGACGUCCUGUAAGCUUGGUAGAUAGUUUCAAUGCAUGAAAACAAUCUGAAAGCCCCUGGCAAAACUUGAACCCACGGCGAUGAGGGGCAAGUAGUUUGAAGUCGAUAGCCUUAAUCUGUUGGCUUCGGACGUUGCUUAAGACGUUGCUUAUUUAUAAUAUGCCGGUGUUACAAAAAACUAGCAAGUGUUUUUAAUAGCCCCAGUAAAUCGAGUGACUGCUUAUGAAUGUUCAGACUAGCUGUUUUUAUUCACAAAACUUGUAUUUGUUUAUGUUUAAGCUUUUGCAACAUAUUUUGAAAAUCACGAGGAAGGUUCUGAAGGGUUUAGAAAGAUUUAAAAUGCAGAAAAUUAUGUUGAUGAUAUUCUUGUGUACUAAUGACAUUGGUUAUACAUUCGCAUGUUUUCAUACGUUUGAGGGAAUCUUAACUUUUACUUUGUUUCAAGAUUUUAGCAGCUGGACUGAAGAAGUGUAGUAUGUGUUUGUUUUAUUCAUGCAAAUGAAGUGUUUAGAAUUUAUUUUAGGAGUAGCAAGUGUAUUGGAACCUGUUCCAUGUAAAAUGAAAUAAAAAAAACAUGCCUUAAACUAAGAAACAGGUAGGGUCAUUCGUAAGUGUUGUUGGAUUAUAUACGAUAAUUUGUUAUACUUGGAUCCAUUUAUUUAUGUUUGCUUUUACAAUUGCCUACAAAAUGACGUAUUAAUUUUAAAAGAUACAUGUUCACCAAAUAAACGUGGUUAAGGGGUCAGAAUGAAGAUUUUACUUGAGAAAACAUUACGAUUUUAGAGUUCAAAUAGAGUAUGGAACGUUGUCUUACACCACGCUGUUCAUAGCAAUACGAGUUUGAAACGAGGUCUGUACGCGUCGUCACUAAAUGACGUCAGUUGGUCCGGCCUCCAAGAUAGGAGAGGUUUGCUUUAUCUUAACGAAGAUGACUGAUAUUGUUUCUGUGGCAAUUAAAUUUCCGUGGAACACAACCGACAUUUUAACUUCUACUGAGCAUAGUCUCUGUUUCAAUACGUUGACGUUCAAAAGCCCACGCAUUGCAGUCUUUUUUCUCUUAUAUAAAUUACUUUAAGGAAAAUGUUUACAUAUUUUAUUACCUCUGUGCAAGGGCAAAUCUUACAAAACGUUUCUAAUAAGGCGUUUCUUACAAUUUUAAUCAAAUAGGGACCGGUAUGUACCCAUUGUUUAUAGUCGUAAACAUUUUUACAUCACAUUGUUUAAAUUUUAAACGAUUAUUGACAAUUUAACUAUAGUUGUGCCAAAACGAAAUUAUAUGAUAUAUAAUGACUUAAAAAUCAAUACUCUUAAGAAAAUUAGUUUUAGGUUAUAUUCGGUAAAUAACAAGUCCUUUGUCAUAGUUCUGUAGUAAACUUGACCAUGUUUCUGUAAAAUACAUGACUAAAUACUUUAAAAUGUUAACAUAAUCACACAUAAUAGAAAUUAAACUUUAUUUAGCUAUUGCAGGUAUUGCUCAUUACGCCCAGAGAUAGUGCUUAACAUAACGCAUUUUUGUCCGUCUUUCAAUCCGCCUUUCAAUCCAAAAUUAUGUCCAGAGUACCAACACCCCCGGUCUUUAUUCUAUAGAAAAUGUAACCAUUUAUGUAUAUUUAAUACUGAACAAAAAUUCCCAACCUUAGAAAUUUGUAAAACAUUGAGCUAGUAGUUACAUGUAUAAUAUUUCUUUAUAAAGAUGUCAUAUUGCACAAGGGUAACUAUUAGAAAGAUUUUGAAAUAAAAAACAACAACUUCAAAUGAGUAUUCGAGCUAAGACAUAUCGAGCCUCCACUUUCUAAUGGUUGCCUCUAGCCAUCUUAUUAUAAAAAAAACCUGAUUUCACAUAGUCAGUUAAGAUCGAUAUAAAAAAACAAAUUAAAGCUCUCUGCAUAUGGAAAGGCUUAUAACUUUUGCCAAACUAAUGAAUAAUUUGAUAUUAAAAGGGGCUCCACUACGGUGCGAUGGCCUAAAUAUACACAUGGAAAUAGGUUAAACACCCCCGGAUAUUUAAAAUUGGUUGUGAUUUAAGCACUGUCAUGAGAUGACAACUUAAUUGAGCUAAUACGUAGUAUUGUGAUAAGUAGCGAUACCAAUUUAAAAAUCAUAAACCAGUUAAUUUAUGAGUUAAGUUAAUUCUUAACCAAAUUAUAGAAGCAUUAGCAAAUGUGAUGAUUAUAAGUAUGGUGUUGGAACAUUUGUGGAUAUUUUAAUAAAUGUUGACGAUUACGUAACCUCAAAUGGCAUUAUGUAGCCACGUUUUCAGUAAUAUAACGUGUGUAACCGCUACGUGCCCGAAUUAUAGCCUCAACCCUUCUCCUCAUACUACCAGUAAGGUGUCGAAUGCGAUUUUGAGGAAAAUUUUGACAUUCUUGGUGCAGACCUUGUUCUGGUUGUUGUAGGUUCACUACAGGUGGUUCGUACCAUUGCCCAAAUAAAAUUUUGAAUUUCAGUUGUUGUCAUGUCAAAAUUGAGGCAAAAUGCAAAAGAUGCAUAUCCCCUCCCAACGGUAAAUGAAUGUCUAAAUGCAUUGGCAGGUGCCAAAUGGUUCAACUACAUGGACUUGUGUUCGGGAUUUUAGCUGGUCGAAAUGGAUCCAGGCGACAAACAUAGAACAGCUUUCUCAACAUCUGAUGCAUUGUACAAAAAUGUAUUAUUUCCGCAUUUUUACAAUUUCCCAGAUGACUUGGAACUCAGACAUUGACUUAUAACAAGCUGGAAAAAUCAUACUAGAUAAACCCAGUGGAACGUUCGGGUCGUAUACUCGUCCACAUAGUGGUCAUCUUCUGCUAUUCCUGUUAAAAGGCGCCUCAAACAACAUGUCUUGAUGGGUGUUAAAGUAUCAUUAUCAUGACUUACAAACGUUAAAGAAUAUCUAGUGUGAAACAUUCAGAAAACUUUAGAUUGUUAAAUUAUACUUGACUCUAUAACAAUAUUGUUCUACAUACAAUCCUUUUUCCAUUUUAUGUAAUGAGUCAGUUCAAUGUUUAAUAAUCAGUACACGUAGGUUGACAAUCACCUUAUAUAGAUGACAAUUGCCGAUAAAGAUUGAUAUAAUAUUGAGGUUUGAGUGCAAUAUUUGCUUUUAAAAUAAUGUCAAUACAUACGUAUUUAUUUACGAUCAUUUAUAUUUAGAAAGAGAAAAAUUGAAGUUCACAAUACCCGGUAAGGGACAUUUCAGAAACAUAUUAAGAGUGGGGCAUGUUAAGGAGAAGAAAGAAGUAUUAACUUUAUACUAUAAGUUGAAAUUAUAAAAAAGUUAAACAAAUGGCAAAGGUAUUUCAUACUCUUUAAAUCAUACUGCCUUCGAAGUAGUCUGAUGACGUCAUAUUUUCAAGCAAUUUUUAUGAUCAACUGUUGCUUCGUUCGGGCCAAUGAACAACAACGCUUAUUAUGCCCCAGAAAUGCGGCAUAUUAAAAUCGCACUGUCCGUCUGUCUGUGCGUUCCCGCUUACACAACAUUCAUGUCCGGACUGUAAUUGUCAUGCAUAUCUUUAAAAUAACUUGGCAUAAAUAUCUACCAUAUCUUGAUGAUGUGUCGCGUUUAAGGACUAUGUCCCUACCGCCACACUUACAUUUUGAAGUUUCAUAUUAUCACACUUAGAAUUUAAAGGUACACACAUUCGUAUACUGGCUGUAACUUGUCAGGUAUUCAAGGAUUUUAAAAUAACAUAGCAUAAAUGUCUACCACAUUAAGACGACAUGUCGCGUUUAUGACACAUGUCCCUAUCUCCAAGGUCACACUAAUAAUUUGAAGGUACAUAUUUUAACAAGAAGAGUUUGAAUGUACACAUCCAUGUCUGGACUGUAACUUUGCCAUGCAGUCAAGGAUUUUAAUAUAAUUGUCUACCACACCAUGAUGAUGUGUCGCGUCAGGUCAAUGUCAAACAUAAUUUUGAUGAAUCACAUUCUCACAGAGAUGAAAGAUACACACAAUUGUGUCCGGACUAUAAGCAUAAAAGGAUUUUGAAAUAACAUGGCAUAAAUGUCUACCACAUUUAGACGACGUGUCGCGUCUAAGACAAUGCCCCUACCUCCAAGGUAAAGGUGGUAAGUUUUCUGUGAAUAGCACUUUAUUUCACAAGAAGAAUAUAUCGCAAUUAGUUAGUUUCAUUCUCUUUUCUUUUCAUAAUACCGUUCUGCAAUACUUUUUCGGGGGCAUUUGUCACUUUUAAGGAAGUCGAAAGUAUCGUUAUUAAGCAAUGGCGUCGUCUAAUGAUCACGCGGCGUCCUGUCAUUUUAAUC